rnacentral:rRNA from 1 species
GACGUAGGGCGCGAGCGUUGUCCGGAUUUAUUGGGCGUAAAGAGCUCGUAGGCGGUUUGUCGCGUCUGGUGUGAAAAUCAGGGCUUAACCCUGGACCUGCAUCGGGGUACGGGGCAGACUAGAGUGCGGUAGGGGAGAUCGGAAUUCCUGGUGUAGCGGUGAAAUGCGCAGAUAUCAGGAGGAACACCGGUGGCGAAGGC